rnacentral:rRNA from 1 species
UACGUAGGGGGCAAGCGUUGUCCGGAAUCAUUGGGCGUAAAGAGCGUGUAGGCGGUUCGGUAAGUCGGCUGUGAAAGUCCAGGGCUCAACCCUGGGAUGCCGGUCGAUACUGCCGGACUAGAGUUCGGAAGAGGCGAGUGGAAUUCCCGGUGUAGCGGUGAAAUGCGCAGAUAUCGGGAGGAACACCUAUGGCGAAGGCAGCUCGCUGGGACGUUACUGACGCUGAGACGCGAAAGCGUGGGGAGCAAACAGGG